CAGUAGCCGCGGGAAUACGUAGGGUGCGAGCGUUAAUCGGAAUUACUGGGCGUAAAGCGUGCGCAGGCGGUUUUGUAAGACAGGCGUGAAAUCCCCGGGCUCAACCUGGGAAUGGCGCUUGUGACUGCAAAGCUAGAGUGCGGCAGAGGGGGAUGGAAUUCCGCGUGUAGCAGUGAAAUGCGUAGAUAUGCGGAGGAACACCGAUGGCGAAGGCAAUCCCCUGGGCCUGCACUGACGCUCAUGCACGAAAGCGUGGGGAGCAAACGGGAUUAGAUACCCCAGUAGUCCCUGUCUCUUAUAA
rnacentral:rRNA from 1 species